UUAUUGAAUAUAAAGUAAAAAUGUAUUUGUCGUAUUAACCAAAAAACAGCACUAAAGGACAUAAACUCCUUUGUAUGAGGGCUACCAAUUACUCAUAAAAGUGUGUAGGUUUCCCCUCCCCCUUUUAUUCCUUGGACUAAUUAAACUUUCUAUAAUUUACGGUUUGGCAGAGUUUGAAAUUCCUCAAAGUAAAGGUAUUCUGAGCGGCAACAGAAAAGAAGCAAACAUUACAACAUGUUAACUUUAUUAAUGCAUUUUGGAUUAAAACUUAAUGCGUGUUUUGGAUGGAUAGAUCAUAGAUCCAUGUAAUGUUUCAAAGGCUUAGAGAUUUUAGUCACGUUAUAUGUUACACAGGAACUCUUGUGGAACACUUUUUCA